rnacentral:rRNA from 1 species
AUGUUCCGCGGUGGCGGCAGAAGCAAGACGGUGGCGACGAGCACGAGCACGGGUAAUGAGCUGCCCGUCGACGGCGUGGUGCGGGUGAGGAAAGUGGAGAGGAUCCAGCCGCACAACCUCGUCUCCAGGCCAUCGGUACUCCACGGCGACCACGCCACCUCGCCGGCGACUUCCGGACCGGCGGAGAGCCUGGCCGUCAGCGUCGUCCGUAUAGGGGACAUAGUGAUAGUGGACGACAAAGACAAACCCGAUGGCUUACUCUCGGUGUCUAUCGCGUAG